ACGAAGAGUUACAUUGACGGUACCUGGAGAAGAAGCACCGGCUAACUACGUGCCAGCAGCCGCGGUAAUACGUAGGGUGCGAGCGUUGUCCGGAAUUUCUGGGCGUAAAGAGCUCGUAGGUGGUUUGUCGCGUCGUCUGUGAAAUCCCGGGGCUUAACUCCGGGCGUGCAGGCGAUACGGGCAUAACUUGAGUGCUGUAGGGGAGACUGGAAUUCCUGGUGUAGCGGUGAAAUGCGCAGAUAUCAGGAGGAACACCAAUGGCGAAGGCAGGUCUC
rnacentral:rRNA from 1 species